GAGAAUGGAGAUGUUAAGGUUGCUGAUUUUGGUGUUUCUGCACAACUAACAAGGACAAUCUCGAGAAGAAAGACAUUUGUAGGAACACCAUUCUGGAUGGCUCCAGAAGUAAUUCAAAAUUCAGAUGGAU